GGAAGUAUCUAAGUCAGCCAGUAGAAAGCACAUGAAAGUUUUACAUGAAAGUUUUAAGAUUUUAAUGAGUUCAACCUUUUUUAUAAGCACCUCCUAGAUUCCAUCCAAUAUCCCACACUUCUUUAGCUUCUUUUCAGUUCACAAUGGGAUUUAGCUAUCAGAGCCAGCUGGCCCUUAGAACAUGUUUCUGGUGUCGAUAUAAGAUCACUAGGGGUAGGGGGAAAGAUUGAAAAAAAAAAAAAAAAAAAAAAGUAUGUUCUGCACUCAUAAAAUGCAGUCUUUUCAUGCCUCUCAAAGAGUUUUUUUUAACUCUAAUCUGGAAGUCUAUACCCAAUAUGACCA